rnacentral:rRNA from 1 species
CGGACGGGUGAGUAACGCGUGGGUAACCUUCCUUGUACUGGGGGACAACAGUUAGAAAUGACUGCUAAUACCGCAUAAGCGCACAGUAUCGCAUGAUACAGUGUGAAAAACUCCGGUGGUACAAGAUGGACCCGCGUCUGAUUAGCUAGUUGGUAAGGUAACAGCUUACCAAGGCGACGAUCAGUAGCCGACCUGAGAGGGUGACCGGCCACAUUGGGACUGAGACACGGCCCAA